CAACGGGAUAUUUGUGUGGCGAAGUCUAACUUCUUGCACACAAUGAGCAGGAAAUAGACCGGUACCCUGGCCUCGAAGAAUGCCUUCCAGAAGGCCGCAAUCCGUGGCACCAGUCACUACGGCAAACCACGGCUGAUCGAUGAUGCAAUACCUUCGAGGAUGUCACCUUGAUUGAUGGUCAGGUGUCCCAGGAUUCCGGAAUUGUAGCUCUCUACGCAAACUACGGUCGUUCCUGGGAUUGACAAGGAAUUAGUCGUGUCCGACUGCGAAGUGCCAACUCCAGAACUGUCACUGAUGACAUCCGAGGCUGUGUCGCCGAGACUUUUGUCUGGAAACGAGAAACAGACUUGAAGAUUGUAUAAACAGACGGGAGAGAUAUCCGAGAGCAAGCCGCUGUCAUGACACGCAAUGACGGGAGGAAAUCUCAAGAAUUAAGUGCGUGAGAUGAUUUGGAUGACGUGAUGUUGAUAUCUCGGAUGCGAGUUAUAAAAAGUCGGCACAUUCCUUUGACAUUCUGCCCAGAAACAAAGGAGAGACCCACGACUAAUCGUGGAAUGGAAGCCAUGCGAUAACGGGGGAUGUGGCCGUUGAGUUUUCGAAUUAUUGUGGAGAAAUUUUUAUUAAUUCAGGAUUGGAAUGAUUGGAACAAUCAGUUUUUCUUUUUUUUCUCUUGUAUAAUCGAGAUUUGGGCAACCGAAGAACUCGGCACAUCCCUUAUCGCUGGCUUCUACAGAUAAAGCGUAAUGGGGUUUAGUCUAAUAAACGCAUUCCAAGAUGGCGUCUCGAUCUUGCAAAAGUCACCUAACGAGCCAUUCUCUUUUCGAGGCAUCUUAGAACGAAGCAGGUGUACACUGUGAAAAAUAUCUAAGAAUUACCACCCGGUAUAAUUUGCACGACCACUGACUCCAUAUUUUCUAUCUAAUUCUUUAAAGAUAUUGUUUUAUUCUGGAAACUAGUCUAGCGCUAUAAGAUGCGGCGAGAAUUCUUGCUAUUCAAAAAUGAUUAGGUCGAGGAAUAAGUUCCCUCCGUUUUAAUUACGUUACGUUACGUUAAAAACGGUGGGAACUUAUUCCUCAACCCAAUAUUUUAUAAAUAUUUUAUCAGACCGCAACUACUUAAUGAAUGAAUUAACCAACAUCACUUUCGCUGCACCCUGUACAUAAUUUUCUUCUGAUUUAUUACCAAGAUAUAAAAUUGGAUAGCCUUGAAUCGAUACCCACCAUAUGAGACUAUUUUUAACAGUGCACGCUGCAUGAGACAUCGAACAAAAGCAUGCAUUGUCUAUACCAAACGCAGAGGCAUUUCUAACCUCUAAAAAGCAAAACGUCCUCUUUCUUUCCUACCUCGACACGGUCAAUCUACAUUUGGUGGUGAUGGUUUCAAGUUUAACACGUGGCUCUUAAACUCCCUACUCGAUACGAUUAAAUACCCUCGAACAUUCGUAAUCAGACAAGUUCGCAACGCUGCGUCUCUUUACUCUAUGCAUGUAGUAUUAAUUUUUACAAAUUCAGAAUACCAAGACUGGCGUAAAGAAACCCGGCGUCGCGUAUACGUACGCACAGAAUGAAUGUAUUUGCCGCGAAACUCAACCGAGUUUUCGAUUUGUGCGCUUUUCGGUAAUAAUGUUAAUUUUUAUAGAUAUGCCGUGUUCAGACCUGCCGUAAAGUAACACGAAGUUGCAUAUAAAUAUAGGUUUGAACGUAUUUGGCGCGAGACUC
rnacentral:lncRNA from 1 species